GGUAUUGUUCCAUAUUUGAUUUUGGUUGUGAUUGGAAAUAAUAACAUCGUCCUUCCUCCUUUUCCAAGUUAGCUAUUCAAUGUAUAUGCAGAAAGUUUCUCCCCUUACAUGCCUUGCUUGUGAGAAAGAUUGCAUUAAAAUAAAUUGAAUAAAUGUGAAGGUAAUUAGAAAAUUGACUGGAAAAUAUGGAAUAAUUAGUGGAUAUUGUGGCUGUAGGUACAAUUAAAUCGGAAUUUAUGAUCAUACAAUUCUGAGAUUUCAUGGUCGCUAAAUCCAUCCCUUAUAGAUAUUGUUGAAUAGCUCUCACCUGAGUUGUCUUAUGAAUUUGAAGGCAACUUGGGUAUCCAUGUUACUUUUAAA
rnacentral:misc_RNA from 1 species